rnacentral:lncRNA from 1 species
AAACAAUUGUAGAUAAAAGUUAAAACACAAGCAAAGCCAAACAGUUCACACUUUUCUACCUAAAUAUAAACAUCAUUUUUUUAUGCAUUGCCGAAUCCAAGCACUGGUUUAGAGUCCAAAAAGGAUAGCAACUUAGUAUCAUAUCUCAACUACUAAUAUAAUACAUGUAAUUAAUGAUGCAGAUACAUUAACAAAGAUAAGAUAUAUAGUAGGAAAUUAUUACUUCUAAUUAAUCUGCCCUUGGACCCCUUCAAACAAAAACAAAUUGUAGAAAAAAGUCCAAUAAUCUAGGGAUUAUUCUUUAAUCAAGAAAAAAAAAAUCUAGGGAUUAUUCUGGCCACAGUUUCCUGGCUUUCCUUUUUUAGGAUCAUGCUUACAAUUGGCCCCUCCAGCUUCAUAAUCCAGUGUGACAUCCACUAAUAAUGCCUCUCUCUUAUGCAUCUGCCCCAAAAAAACAUUUUAGAAUGCAAGAAAAUUACUAAGAUUUGUAUCAUAAAGUCGUAUUGAAUUCAAAUUAAAAAGGUAGUGAUAUUAACAGAAACAUAGGGACAGAUCACAUUUUAUUGAAUCUGAUAUAAUAUAGUUAAUAAAUAUUAAGCAAAUUUAAUAAAUUUAUCUGCACAUAGUACUUUUCGAUAUGUUAAUAUCAUCACCUGUUAAGAUCUUCAGUGAUCAGUAGAAUAUGUAUACUUUAAUGCUAGCAAAAUCUUUGAUAACAUAGUGAAUAGUGUUUCUCUCUCAGAAAUAAAAAAGAUUGAAAAUGUUGUGAAAAAUUCUUGCUAUUACUCCAAUUAGCAGGUUCUUUUAUUUUUUAUUUUGUUGACAGAUUAGUUUUCUUGGAUAAGGAACUUAAACAUGUUAAUGACAUGGCACAGUACUAAAAUAUUAAACACUGACUCCCUAUUAUGUCUCAAUUUCAUUACUAUUCAAAGUGUUACAUAAACAAUGCUUUUGCAGAAGUUCCAGCCAAAUAAUAAAAGCCUAAAACCAUUUUCACGUCCGUAAAAUCAAAGCCAUAAGAUUUGAAGCGAAUCUUUGUUACCUUGUCUACAUUGUAAGCAGGUUUAAUUCCAUGGUCCAUGGUUUCCAUUUGGGCUGCAUAUACUGAUGUGGUUAACAAAAACAACAAGUAAAUAGAAUAAAUACCCUAAAAAACAAGAUAUAUAUUAUAUAUGUACCUGAAGAUGUGUCAAAGAGAAUGAUUAGGAAAAUGAUGGUGAGGAAGAUCCUGAGUCUUGGCAUUUUGGAUGCUGCUUCUGCUGUCAUCAGCAGCCCUCAACUUGUGUUUGCUUGGUGUGCAUGCAUGCUCCAGC